GGCCGUGUGGCGAAAUGGCAUCGCGUCUGACUACGACACUUGUAUGUAUGUAUCAGGAGAUUGCAGGUUCGAGACCUGCCUCGGUCA
rnacentral:tRNA from 1 species